GAGUUUGAUCCUGGCUCAGAACGAACGCUGGCGGCAGGCUUAACACAUGCAAGUCGAGCGCCCCGCAAGGGGAGCGGCAGACGGGUGAGUAACGCGUGGGAAUCUACCCAUCUCUACGGAAUAACGCAUGGAAACGUGUGCUAAUACCGUAUACGUCCUUCGGGAGAAAGAUUUAUCGGAGAUGGAUGAGCCCGCGUUGGAUUAGCUAGUUGGUGGGGUAAAGGCCUACCAAGGCGACGAUCCAUAGCUGGUCUGAGA
rnacentral:rRNA from 1 species